rnacentral:rRNA from 1 species
UACGAAGGGGGCUAGCGUUGUUCGGAAUCACUGGGCGUAAAGGGCGCGUAGGCGGCCGAUCAAGUCGGGGGUGAAAGCCUGUGGCUCAACCACAGAAUUGCCUUCGAUACUGUUUGGCUUGAGACCGGAAGAGGUUAGUGGAACUGCGAGUGUAGAGGUGAAAUUCGUAGAUAUUCGCAAGAACACCAGGGGCGAAGGCGGCUGACUGGUCCGGUUCUGACGCUGAGGCGCGAAAGCGUGGGGAGCAAACAGG